rnacentral:lncRNA from 1 species
CUCUUCACUGUUCUUCAAAUUGCAAACUUGUCUUCUUUACUUUCUAGCUUGAGAGAGAUCUUGGAGAAUUUGUACUGCUUGUCGAAGAGAGCAGUUGCCGUGCAUCCCAAGGUUAGUUAAGCAUGUAUUUUUUUCCUUCGUCUUUUCUUCUUGGCGGCUUUGGCGACGACGGUGGUGUUGCGGUGGCAGCAGCUGUAGUGUCUUUUUUUCUUUUCUUUUUUUCUUUCGGCAGGCAAGUUGUCAUCGUGGGGCAUCAUCGGACAACCAAGAAUGAUCACCUUGUUGGAAAGGCCUUCUGUAAC